AGACAAGAAAAAAGAACUCGAAGCCUUUCAGAGCUACCAAGAAUGUCACUUUGUUCACUGCCUACCUGGGGAGAAAGAGAGAGAGGGAAAGGGGCUACCAAGUGACAAUGGAAGUCAAUUAGCAGAUUGCCUGGCAGGAGUCAGCUGGGAUCAGUUACCAUCUAUCGCCUCAGCAGGAGAGUCAGUGACUGGUCUCAACUUGCUAUAAAGUUUCCAAGGGAUAUUGGCGCCAGGAAGCUGGUAUACCCAGGAUUGGUUUCAGCUGAAGACCUACCUAAAAUACUCUGAAUUGGUUCGACACAAGUCUUUCUAGUUCCUUCUCAAAGGCGGGAAAUGAUGACAUUUGCUCUCUGCAGACACUGUGGAAGUCACACCUUGGCAGAUAAAUGUACAGAUUCAGGUCACUUGGACACUCCUGAAACCUGACAUUCUGGAAAAGAAUAUAAAUGGUGGAACAAUGGAGGAUGUAGAGAUAAGAGUGAGAAAAGUCGAAGGCAG